GACGAACGCUGGCGGCGGGCUUAACACAUGCAAGUCGAACGGAAAGGCCCUGCUUUUGUGGGGUGCUCGAGUGGCGAACGGGUGAGUAACACGUGAGUAACCUGCCCUUGACUUUGGGAUAACUUCAGGAAACUGGGGCUAAUACCGGAUAGGAGCUCCUGCUGCAUGGUGGGGGUUGGAAAGUUUCGGCGGUUGGGGAUGGACUCGCGGCUUAUCAGCUUGUUGGUGGGGUAGUGGCUUACCCAGGCUUUGACGGGUAGCCGGCCUGAGAGGGUGGACGGGCACAUUGGGACUGAGAGACGGCCCAGACGGCUACGGGGGGCAGCAGGGGGGAAUAUUGCACAAUGGGCGGAAGCCUGAUGCAGCAGCGCCGCGUGCGGGAUGACGGCCUUGGGGUUGUAAACCGCUGUCGCCUGUGACGAAGCGUGAGUGACGGUAAUGGGUAAAGAAGCACCGGCUAACUACGUG
rnacentral:rRNA from 1 species